CGGGCCUUGCCGACCCCCGGCGACCGGGGGCGUUGGCGACGCCCCGCGGAGCCCGGGUCAGCGCGGGGCGAGACCGUCGCCCGCGAGCUCGUC
rnacentral:tRNA from 1 species